UCCUCAACGACACUGUCUCACUCCUCCCCCUCCUCCUCCUCCUCCUCCUCCUCCGCCACCCCAACCCCGAAUCGAACCCGAACCCGAACCCAACCCCCAACCCGCUUCGAGUUCUUCUCCCACGGAUUAUAUGGAACUGCUCGCCAUGAUGGUCGGAGAACCCGAUAUGAGCUUGGAGAACAUGGAUAUUCUGGAGGUCGCCGCGAUGAGGGGGAUCAAGUUCGAUCCUCCUCGCUGGCAUCGCCCUGGCGGCUAUGAGCGAAAGCCAAAGGGCGAACAAGGUGCUUGACGAAAUGCUUCGGUGGAGAAAAACGUUUGGGUUUUGGGUGAUUAUGUUAAGCUGGGAAGUUGUCUUUAUGUAAAUGAGUAUGGAUGACUGUAUGUUUGAUGAAAUGGCUCAAAAAACUCGACCUUUUGCUGUAAUGUGGAGUUUAGACAUGAACUGUGGCUUUGUUUUUAUGUAGUGUUAAGCUUUUGGAGCCUGAUGAGCUAUUGAACUCUUUGUUUUGCUCAAAUGUUGCUCUUUUUAGUACUCUUGACUGUAAAUAAGCAAGUUUAUU